AUUGAACGCUGGCGGCAUGCCUUACACAUGCAAGUCGAACGGCAGCACGGGAGCAAUCCUGGUGGCGAGUGGCGAACGGGUGAGUAAUAUAUCGGAACGUGCCCAGUCGUGGGGGAUAACGUAGCGAAAGCUACGCUAAUACCGCAUACGAUCUAUGGAUGAAAGCGGGGGAUCGCAAGACCUCGCGCGAUUGGAGCGGCCGAUAUCAGAUUAGGUAGUUGGUGGGGUAAAGGCUCACCAAGCCGACGAUCUGUAGCUGGUCUGAGAGGACGACCGGCCACACUGGGACUGAGACACGGCCCAGACUCCUACGGGAGGCAGCAGUGGGGAAUUUUGGACAAUGGGCGCAAGCCUGAUCCAGCAAUGCCGCGUGCAGGAUGAAGGCCUUCGGGUUGUAAACUGCUUUUGUACGGAGCGAAAAGGCUUCCACUAAUACUGGGGGCUCAUGACGGUACCGUAAGAAUAAGCACCGGCUAACUACGUGCCAGCAGCCGCCGUAAUAC
rnacentral:rRNA from 1 species